AGAGUUUGAUCAUGGCUCAGAACGAACGCUGGCGGCGUGCCUGAGACAUGCAAGUCGUGGGAGAAAGUCGGAGCAAUCCGGCUAGUAAACCGGCGCACGGGUGAGUAACACGUGGACAACCUGCCCUGGAGACUGGGAUAACCCGUCGAAAGACGGACUAAUACCGGAUAAGACCACGAGGGGUUCGCCCCUUGGGGUAAAAGGUGGCCUCUGCUCCUGCAAGCUAUUACUUCAAGAAGGGUCCGCGUCCUAUCAGCUAGUUGGUGAGGUGACGGCUCACCAAGGCAAAGACGGGUAGCUGGUCUGAGAGGAUGGUCAGCCACACUGGGACUGAGACACGGCCCAGAGUCCUACGGGAUGCAGCAGUCAGGAAUAUUGCGCAAUGGAGGAAACUCUGACGCAGCGACGCCGCGUGGGUGAUGAAGGCCUUCGGGUCGUAAAGCCCUGUCGGAGGGGAAGAAAAGCCUGCUGGCUAAUAUCCAGCGGGCCUUUGACGGUACCCUCAAAGGAAGCACCGGCUAACUCCGUGCCAGCAGCCGCGGUAAGACGGAGGGUGCAAGCGUUGUUCGGAUUGACUGGGCGUAAAGGGCGUGUAGGCGGUUGCCCAAGUCCGAUGUGAAAGCCCGGGGCUUAGCCUCGGAAGUGCAUCGGAAACUAGGCAGCUGGGGCGCGAUAGAGGAGGGUAGAAUUCCUGGUGUAGCGGUGAAAUGCGUAGAUAUCAGGAGGAAUACCGGCGGCGAAGGCGGCCCUCUGGAUCGUUGCUGACGCUGAGACGCGAAAGCGUGGGGAGCAAACAGGAUUAGAUACCCUGGUAGUCCACGCUGUAAACGAUGGGUACUAGGUGUUCGGGGUAUUGACCCCCUGAGUGCCGCAGUUAACGCAUUAAGUACCCCGCCUGGGGACUACGGCGCAGGUUUAAAACUCAAAGGAAUUGACGGGGGCCCCGCACAAGCGUG
rnacentral:rRNA from 1 species